rnacentral:rRNA from 1 species
CCUACGGGAGGCUGCAGUGGGGAAUUUUGCGCAAUGCUCGCAAGCCUGACGCAGCGAUUCCGCGUGUGGGAUGAAGGCCUUCGGGUCGUAAACCUCUUUCGUCAGGGACGAAAAUACACCUUUGUAAAAAUGGUUUUAUUGACGGUACCUGCAUAAUAAGCACCGGCUAACUACGUGCCAGCAGCCGCGGUAAUACGGAGGGUGCGAGCGUUAAUCGGAAUUACUGGGCGUAAAGGGUGCGUAGGCGGUGGUGUAAGACAUUAGUGAAAGCCCAGAGCUAAACUUGGGAAAGGCUUGUGAGACUGGAAGACUAGAGUAUGUGAGAGGAAUGUAGAAUUCCAGGUGUAGCAGUGAAAUGCGUAGAUAUGAGGAGGAAUACCGUUGGCGAAGGCGGCAAUCUGGCACAAAACUGACGCUGAGGUGCGAAAGCGUGGGGAGCAAACAGGAUUAGAUACCCCAGUAGUC